rnacentral:rRNA from 1 species
AUGGCGACGAGGGAGACCGAGCGAGGCUCCUCCGGCGGCCUCCCCGAGGACAUGAUCCCGGAGAUCCUCGCCUGCCUGCCGCCCAAGCACCUCCUCCGCUCCCGCGCCGCCUGCAAGGCCUGGCGCAACCUCGCCACCGACCCCGCCUUCAUCGGCAGGCACCACUCCUUCCAGCCACGGCAGCCCCUCGUCUUCACCUACGACGUCGGCGGCUGCCUCCAGGCCGUCGACCUCGCCACCAACAAGCGCCGGGCGGUCCUGCGGGUUAUCCAGAGGGUGCCCGUGCCCCGCCCCUUCGCCGACGACGGCCGCGGCGCACUCAUGGUCCACGGCUCGUGCAACGGCCUGCUCCUCCUCAGCUUCCACAGGUCCUUCUUCGUCUGCAACCCUGCGACGCGCCAAGGCGCUCGCCUGCCGCUGCUGCUUCAGGAUGGCCGACAUGUCGUGGGGUUCUACCAGCACGCCGCUUCCGGGGAGUACCGGGUGCUGUACCACGAGGCUGAGCGCCUGGGCCUCCAGAGCCGGCACUCCUACUACGUCCUCACGGUGGGAUCCCCGCAGGCCAGGAGCAUCGACCUUCGCACGUCGUCGGCUGAAGUGGGCGCUGGGCUGAUGAGAGGGCUGGAGAGCUCUCGCACAUCGCCGCCCGUCCUUAAUGGCAGCCUGCACUGGUCGCCGCAACAGAGCCAAGGGGGCGACAUACUGGUGUUCGACCAAGCUGCUGAGUCAUUCAGGCGGAUCUCUCCUCCCGCGGAGGCGAGCCUGACCAAGGACGACCACACGCAGCUGUUUGAGAUGGAGGGCAAGCUUGCCAUGUUCUGCUCGCCCCAAUUCGCAAAGAACAUGGCGGUUUGGUUCAUGGAUGACUACAAGGAGAUGCGCUGGGUCUGGAAGUACUGGGUUAAGCUGUCCUUCAAGCUUGCUUAUCAACCUAUACCGUUGCCACUUUGUCCGAUUGUCCUGUAUCAAGAGGGGGAUAUGCUGGUGUCCGAGGAAGUCUCUGACAAGGUGUUGCAUUGUGAUAAGACAGGUAAAUCGCAGGGGCCUGUUGACUGCUCUGCUGGGGGCACCAGAGUUACUCCACAUAUGCUCAAAGAAAGCCUUGUCCUCCAUGAGUUCCUUCAGACGCAGCGGAAUGAUGGUGCCUGUGAAUGGUUCUCCGAGGUCGAGUUCGCUGAUGGCUCGGAUACUGCAAUCUCUGGUGAUGAAACUCAAACUGAUUAA